CAGGCCUAACACAUGCAAGUCGAGCGGCAGCGGGAAGAUAGCUUGCUAUCUUUGCCGGCGAGCGGCGGACGGGUGAGUAAUGCCUAGGGAUCUGCCCAGUCGAGGGGGAUAACAGUUGGAAACGACUGCUAAUACCGCAUACGCCCUACGGGGGAAAGGAGGGGACCUUCGGGCCUUCCGCGAUUGGAUGAACCUAGGUGGGAUUAGCUAGUUGGUGAGGUAAUGGCUCACCAAGGCGACGAUCCCUAGCUGUUCUGAGAGGAUGAUCAGCCACACUGGGACUGAGACACGGCCCAGACUCCUACGGGAGGCAGCAGUGGGGAAUAUUGCACAAUGGGCGAAAGCCUGAUGCAGCCAUGCCGCGUGUGUGAAGAAGGCCUUCGGGUUGUAAAGCACUUUCAGUAGGGAGGAAAGGUAGUAACUUAAUACGUUAUUGCUGUGACGUUACCUACAGAAGAAGGACCGGCUAACUCCGUGCCAGCAGCCGCGGUAAUACG
rnacentral:rRNA from 1 species